CACGAAGUUAGCCGGGGCUUCUUCUCCGACUACCGUCAUUAUCCUCAUCGGUGAAAGAGCUUUACAACCCUAAGGCCUUCAUCACUCACGCGGCAUGGCUGGAUCAGGCUUGCGCCCAUUGUCCAAUAUUCCCCACUGCUGCCUCCCGUAGGAGUCUGGGCCGUGUCUCAGUCCCAGUGUGGCUGAUCAUCCUCUCAGACCAGCUAAAGAUCGUCGCCUUGGUAGGCCAUUACCCCACCAACUAGCUAAUCUUACGCGGGCUCAUCUAAUUCCGAUAAAUCUUUCCCCCGUAGGGCGUAUACGGUAUUAGCAGUCGUUUCCAACUGUUGUUCCGUAGAACUAGGUAGAUUCCCACGCGUUACUCACCCGUCUGCCACUCCCCUUGCGGGGCGUUCGACUUGCAUGUGUUAAGCCUGCCGCCAGCGUCGUUCUGUGCCACGGAGUCAAACUAC
rnacentral:rRNA from 1 species